UACGGAGGAGGCAAGCGUUAUCCGGAAUUAUUGGGCGUAAAGCGUCCGUAGGUGGCUCUUCAAGUCUGCUGUCAAAGAGUGGGGUUUAACCCUGCAAAGGCAGUGGAAACUGAAAGGCUAGAGAGCCGUAGGGGUAGAGGGAAUUCCCGGUGUAGCGGUGAAAUGCGUAGAGAUUGGGAAGAACACCCGUGGCGAAAGCGCUCUGCUGGACUGCAACUGACAUUGAGGGACGAAAGCUAGGGGAGCGAAUGGG
rnacentral:rRNA from 1 species